AAAGGGGCUGGUCCCGCACCCUGCCUCCAUCUACAUCUGGGGCAUUUCGGGGACACCUCCUUCAGCCACACCCGGACUGGGCACUAUACCACCAUGCAGGGACCUGUCCAAGUGGGAACCAGCAAGAUCCAUGCCCAGGAUGAAGGAGGCAGACAUCUCAGGCUUCCUUUCAUGGGAGCCCAGGCAGCCCACCCUUAUCUCCUUUUAGAGCCCAAGAAGGGGCUGUGGACCGACCCUGCCCCCACCCCUGAACUCCUUCCCAUUCACCUCUGCCCCCUUGUGCCCUCCACUGCGCAUCCCUCCUGGACCAGCCCACGUUUUCCUCACUGCCCCAUCCUCCCAGAUUGUUCUCCCUCACUGCCCUUUGGGGGAGCCCAGCUCACCCCAGAGCUCCCAGCCAGGAGCUCUGGGAGAAGGGGCAGGCCUGAAUCCGGAAGGGACUUCCAGAUUUGGGUGGAAGUACAGGUCUGCCUGGGCUUUGGGGUUUCCUCCCCCACCCCCACCCCAGCUUCGCUUCCGUAGCUAUAGAUAAGAAUGGUAGUACCCACCUCACCUCUUGGGGCAUUUGGAGGAUGGCAUGAGGAUUCCUGGUCUGGAAGCUUGGGAAGGGCCGGCUUACUCUCCACCCCUAGGAUCCUGUGAGGGUAGUCCAGGCCCUAAGGAGACCUGAGGGAAAGAAACCUCUAGAAGACUGCUUCCUAGUCUUCCCCGUGCCUAUUAGGCCCUGGCACCCUUUCUCUGCACUCAGGAUCCCCACCACCACCACAUACACUGACUGGAAACGUGCCUCUAGCUCUCAGCACCGUAUCGGGAAGCACCCCACCCACAGUGGGAAGGUCUGAGAGUCCAUCCUCCCGCAGAGCCUCCUUCUCAAUGUCCAGGAUGACCCAGCCCUGGUCCCACCUCCUCUCUCGCCUCCUCGGUCACUGGGGCAGACUCCCUGCUGCCACUCAGGUCCCCAGCCCGGAAUUCUGGGCAGGAGGCUGAGAGCAAGGGGCUACCCUGCCCUCCUGGGUGGGCUGGAAUCCUCCCGCAGCCUGCCUCUCCUCAGACACCAGGGGGUGGCAGGUUUGGACAGCUCCCUGCAGGCAGGGUCUAGGUCUGAGGGGCCCAGGGACAGGGAGCCUGGCCUGGGGUCAUCAGGCGCUGGAGGGCCA
rnacentral:lncRNA from 1 species